rnacentral:rRNA from 1 species
AACUAACGCUAGCGGCGUGCCUAACACAUGCAAGUCGUACGAGAAAGUUGGCUUCGGCCGAUGAGUAAAGUGGCGCACGGGUGAGUAACGCGUGGAUAAUCUACCCUUAAGUUUGGAAUAACGUACCGAAAGGUGCGCUAAUACCGGAUAACACUGAGCAACUACUGUUGUUUAGUCAAAGAAGGCUUCUGUUUACAUGCUUUUGCUUUGGGAUGAGUCCGCGUACCAUUAGCUAGUUGGUAGGGUAAUGGCCUACCAAGGCGAUGAUGGGUAGCCGGCCUGAGAGGGUGAUCGGCCACACUGGAACUGAGACACGGUCCAGACUCCUACGGGAGGCAG